GUGGGGAAUAUUGCGCAAUGGGCGAAAGCCUGACGCAGCAACGCCGCGUGGGGGAUGAAGGUUCUCGGAUUGUAAACCCCUUUCGAUCGGAACGAAUCUCCUCCUGGUAAAUAAUCAGGAGGAUCGACGGUACCGGGAGAAGAAGCCACGGCUAACUCUGUGCCAGCAGCCGCGGUAAGACAGAGGUGGCGAGCGUUGUUCGGAUUUAUUGGGCGUAAAGCGAACGCAGGUGGUUUGGUAAGUCAGAGGUGAAAGACCACAGCUUAACUGUGGCACUGCCUUUGAUACUGCCUUUCUAGAGUGCAUGAGGGGGAAGCGGAAUUCCGAGUGUAGAGGUGAAAUUCGUAGAUAUUCGGAGGAACACCGGUGGCGAAGGCGGCUUCCUGGCAUGUAACUGACACUCAUGUUCGAAAGCGUGGGUAGCAAACAGGAUUAGAUACCCCAGUAGUCC
rnacentral:rRNA from 1 species